rnacentral:rRNA from 1 species
UUCGACCUCAAUCAGAGGACUACCCGCUGAACUUAAGCAUUCAAGA